UGGGGAAUAUUGCACAAUGGGCGCAAGCCUGAUGCAGCCAUGCCGCGUGUAUGAAGAAGGCCUUCGGGUUGUAAAGUACUUUCAGCGGGGAGGAAGGGAGUAAAGUUAAUACCUUUGCUCAUUGACGUUACCCGCAGAAGAAGCACCGGCUAACUCCGUGCCAGCAGCCGCGGUAAUACGGAGGGUGCAAGCGUUAAUCGGAAUUACUGGGCGUAAAGCGCACGCAGGCGGUCUGUCAAGUCGGAUGUGAAAUCCCCGGGCUCAACCUGGGAACGGCAGUCGAAACUGGCAGGCUAGGGUCUUGGAGAGGGGGGUGGAAUUCCAGGUGGGGCGGGGGAAUGCGGAAGAGACUGGGGAAAUACCGGUGGCGAAGGCGGCCCCCUGGACAAAGACUGACGCUCAGGUGGGAAAGGGUGGGGAGCAAACAGG
rnacentral:rRNA from 1 species